GGUGGGUACGGGGCAGACUAGAGUGAUGKUAGGGGGAGMCUGGAAUUUCCUGGUGUAGSCGGUGAAAAUGCGCAGGAUAUCAGGAGGAACWCCGAUGGCGAAAGGGCAGGUCUCUGGGCAUUAACUGACGCUGAGGAGCGAAAGCAUGGGGAGCGAACAGGAUUUAGAUACCCUGGUAGUCCAUGCCGUAAACGUUGGGCACUAGGUGUGGGGGACAUUCCACGUUUUCCGCGCCGUAGCUAACGCAUUAAGUGCCCCGCCUGGGGAGUACGGCCGCAAGGCUAAAACUCAAAGGAAUUGACGGGGGCCCGCACAAGCGGCGGAGCAUGCGGAUUAAUUCGAUGCAACGCGAAGAACCUUACCAAGGCUUGACAUGUGCCAGMCCSCCGUGGAAACACGGUUUCCCCUUUGGGGCUGGUUCACAGGUGGUGCAUGGUUGUCGUCAGCUCGUGUCGUGAGAUGUUGGGUUAAGUCCCGCAACGAGCGCAACCCUCGUUCCAUGUUGCCAGCGCGUAAAGGCGGGGACUCAUGGGAGACUGCCGGGGUCAACUCGGAGGAAGGUGGGGACGACGUCAAAUCAUCAUGCCCCUUAUGUCUUGGGCUUCACGCAUGCUACAAUGGCCGGUACAAUGGGUUGCGAUACUGUGAGGUGGAGCUAAUCCCAAAAAGCCGGUCUCAGUUCGGAUUGGGGUCUGCAACUCGACCCCAUGAAGUCGGAGUCGCUAGUAAUCGCAGAUCAGCAACGCUGCGGUGAAWACGUUCCCGGGCCUUGUACACACCGCCCGUCAAGUCACGAAAGUUGGUAACACCCGAAGCCGGUGGCCUAACCCCUUGUGGGAGGGAGCCGUCGAAGGKGAGCCCCGGSG
rnacentral:rRNA from 1 species